rnacentral:rRNA from 1 species
AUGGACGCUUUGCACGGCCAAACCUCGUGUGGAUCAUUGCUACAAAAACUGCAGUUAGUAUGGGAUGAAGUUGGUGAGAACGAUGAGGACCGCGACAAGGUUCUGUUUCAGCUGGAUCAGGAAUGCUUGGAUGUGUACAAGAGGAAAGUUGAUCAGGCACUCAAGUCAAGGGACCUUCUUCUCCAAGCACUGGACUACUCAAAGAUGGAGCUAGCCAGGCUCGCUUCUGCCCUUGGAGAGAAAUCCAUAGCAACAAGUCCUGAGAAAACAGCACGAACAAUCAAGCAACAGCUUGCUGCUUUAGCUCCAACACUUGAACAACUGGGCAAGCAGAAAAAGGAGAGAAUAAAUAAAUUUGCUGACAUAAUGUCAAGAAUCGAGCAAAUAAGGGGUGAGAUUGCUGGCAAUCUUGAGAUAGGCCAGCAGGUAGCAAUACCACAAAUCAAUGAGGAUGACUUGACAGAUGAGAAACUUCGGGACUUCCAGUCUCAGCUCCAAGAGCUCGAGAAAAAGAAGAGGGAGAGGCUGAAGAAGGUACUUGAGCAUGUGAGUACAGUACAAGAUCUCUGUUCUGUAUUGAAGAUGGAACAUUUUAGCAUAAUAACUGAAGUUCAUGAGAGUCUAGAUGACUCUGUUGGUAAAGACCACAAGAGCAUUAGCAAUGAUACCCUGUCAAAACUUGAUAGGACAAUAGCUACUCUUAAUGAGGACAAAACAUUGAGGCUAAAGAAGCUUCAAGAGCUUGCCACUCAGCUAAAUGAUCUCUGGGAUCUCAUGGACACACCAACGGAAGAAAGAAGCUUGUUUGAUCACGUUACCUGUAACAGAACAGCGAGUGCUGAGGAAGUCACCGCACCUGGAGCACUUGCUCUAGACAUAAUUAAUCAAGCUGAGAUUGAGGUUCAAAGAUUGGAUGAGCUCAAAUACAGCAAGAUGAAAGAAAUAGCUUUUAAGAAGCAAACCACACUGGAAGACAUUUAUGCGGGUGCUCACAUCGUAAUAGACACAGCAGCUGCCCAUGAUAAAAUAUUUGCGCUGAUCGAAUCAGGGAGCAUGGAACCUACAGAAUUGAUUGCUGAUAUGGAUAGUCAGAUAUUGAAAGCAAAGGAAGAAGCUCUAAGCAGGAAAGAAAUUUUAGAUAAAGUUGAGAGAUGGAUAUCUGCAUGCGAGGAAGAAAGCUGGCUUGAAGAUUAUAACCGAGAUGAUAACAGAUAUAAUUCAGGCCGAGGUGCCCACCUGAAUCUCAAACGCGCUGAAAAGGCUCGUAUUCAAGUUAACAAAAUUCCAGGCCUUGUUGAAACUCUGGUGGCCAAGACAACGGCUUGGGAAGAGAAUCACGGUCUAUCCUUCACAUAUGAUGGUGUUCCUCUUCUAGCUAUGUUGGAUGAGUAUGUGAUGCUUAGGCAAGAGAAGGAAGAAGAGAAGAGAAAAAUGCGGGAACAAAAGCGCUACACCGAGCAGUUACUGAACAUCGACCGUGAAGGGCCGUUUGGGACACGUGUCAGUCCCUAUAGAGUGGCCAGCACAAAGAAGGUACCUAGCCCAAAGCCCAAUGGCAGCACGACCAACGGGUCCCCUGGUAGAAGGCUCUCGAUGAGCACUCAGCAGAACGAGAGCAAGAGUUCCCGGUCUGCUGGUAAGAAAGCUGCUGCUGUGGCGGCACCGCCGAAAACACCAGCUUCCCCGAAUGAAGCUGCAACAGCGAAAGAAGACAACGCGUCCAUUCAGCACACGGACGCCGAUCCGGUCCCUUGUUCACCAUGA